rnacentral:snoRNA from 1 species
AAGACUAUACUUUCAGGGAUCAUUUCUAUAGUUCAUUACUAGAGAAGUUUCUCUGAAGGUGUAGAUCACCCCCG